ACCCAAAUCCAGAGAGCUAGAUACAGCGCACGAACCAAAAUCUCCCCGACGGAGGCCGCCGCCGCAUCCCAGAUCUCUCCUCCAAGCUGAGCGAGUACGCCCGGUAGAGGCGGCACAGAUCCCUCUUCGAUGUUGUUCCAACUCUUGACGGCUCCCUGCCGUUGUGUGGGUGGCGUGGCGUCCCGGUUUGAGGCGGACCAGAUCGGAGCUCGUCGGCAACCUCCGCCCCGCUGCUCGUCGCAGCCUCCCUUCUGAAGCUCCGGUAGCGUUGGCUUCGUCGCUUCCUCAUGCUCCAGUAUUAGCUCGCAUCCUCCUCCCUCUCAUCGCCGGCAAGCCGGUGGUGGUCUCCUCGGCUCCUUCACAACCGGCCCGCGCGACGAGGACAAGUGAAAAAAAUAUCUCAUCUGAGGAUUCAGUAAUGGAGGGGAGCAGCGCUACUUCGCCAUUAGGAGAGCCCAUAGUUGCAACGGCCACAACAUAUGCACCGGCACUAUCAGCCAUGGAAUCGGUCAAUAGUGCUCAAAAUCAAGAUUUCAGCAAUGGGAGCUCGUUUGCAGAGAUUACUUCCCCAAUGCUUGUCAUUACUGAUUCUAGUACACUGAAAAAGAAACAAUCGUGCUUUCAAGAGGUUUGAUCUGUCCCAGCACAAGAAGCUUGAUGAGCAAGAAGCACUAGAAUGGGAGGCAAAAGGCUGUAGCUUUUCUGUUCUGUAACAUCAUUCUAGACAAGUUGAUGCAGUUUCUAAUGGCACUGCUUGUUGAGCUGUGAUUUAUUUUCGUCGUUCAUAGUCAGUCUUGCCCAUGAUGUACCACAAAUGAUCCUCUAAUGCGAUGUAACACUGGAUAUAUAUGUAUGUCUCUUCUGAUGGUUCAUGAUUGUGAUCAUGCUGUUUGAAAUAUAUGUUUGCUUGAA